rnacentral:tRNA from 1 species
GUGAGGAGAACUAGGGGGAGAGAUCCUGCCUUCCAAGCAGGUCACACGGGUUCGAUUCCCGUCUCCCGCUCCA